UUUCCGGUUGAUCCCGCCGGACCUGACUGCUAUCGGAUUGAUACUAAGCCAUGCUAGUCUUUGUAGUAAUACAAGGCAUACGGCUCAGUAACGCGUAGUCAACCUACCCUAUGGACGGGGAUAAUCUCGGGAAACUGAGCAUAAUACCCGACAGACCACUUCUCCUGGAAUGGUUAGUGGCUAAAAUGAUUCGUCGCCAUAGGAUGGGACUGCGGCCUAUCAGCUUGUUGGUGAGGUAAUGGCCCACCAAGGCGAUUACAGGUACGGGCUCUGAGAGGAGAGGCCCGGAGAUGGGUACUGAGACAAGGACCCAGGCCCUAUGGGGCGCAGCAGGCGAGAAAACUUUGCAAUGUGCGAAAGCACGACAAGGUUAAUCCGAGUGAUUUCUGCUAAAGGAAUCUUUUGUUAGUUCUAAAAAUACUAGUGAAUAAGGGGUGGGCAAGUUCUGGUGUCAGCCGCCGCGGUAAAACCAGCACCCCAAGUGGUCAGGAGGAUUAUUGGGCCUAAAGCAUCCGUAGCCUGUUCUAUAAGUUUGCGGUUAAAUCUAUACGCUCAACGUAUAGGCUGUCGUAAAUACUGUAGAACUAGGGAGUGGGAGAGGUAGACGGUACUCGAUAGGAAGGGGUAAAAUCCUUUGAUCUAUUGAUGACCAC
rnacentral:rRNA from 1 species